rnacentral:rRNA from 1 species
UACGUAGGGGCCGAGCGUUUGUCCGGAGUUAUUGGGCGUAAAGCGCGCGCAGGCGGCCUCGCGCGCCCGACGUGAAAGCCCCCGGCUUAACCGGGGAGGGUCGUUGGGGACGGCGGGGCUUGAGGGCGGGAGAGGGCGGUGGAAUUCCCGGUGUAGUGGUGAAAUGCGUAGAGAUCGGGAGGAACACCAGUGGCGAAGGCGGCUCACUGGUCCGGUACUGACGCUGAGGUGCGAAAGCGUGGGAGCAAACAGG